GGGUUUUCUCUUGGGUUUGCAUUCAUAAGAAUUUGACCCGUAUUACUGAGCUGUAUAUAUAUUCUUACAGGAGGAAUAUGAUCCUCCUUUUAUCUACUGUUGUAUUACCAUCUGAUCGCAUUUUCUACUCAGAUGUUGCAUUAUAAAAUAACUUAAAGUUAUUACAUUAUAAGUAUAAUGUUCUUUAUUAAGAGUUUUCCAUAUUUUAUGUUCUUCUAUUUCCCUACCUUGUGCUCCUGGUAGCUUAUUAGCUUAUGGUGAAAUUCUUCAUUAUGAAUGUUCCGACUUAAUGACGCAUAAUGUAUAUAAUCAUUGAGGAAAAGG
rnacentral:lncRNA from 1 species